UGAACUUCUUCAGCUUGUCGGAGGCAUUCUGGGACUCCUCCUGCAGCCUCAGGUUGUCCUCCCGCAAGUGCUGAACCUCCGCCUGAAGUGCUAACAAUGCCACGCCAUUGAGCACCAACAGGAGAGGAGACUAGAGGAAAAGAAACACAUGUAACUGGCUGGACAGACCACACAGCUGGGCAAGGGCCGGAGACCUAGCGACUCUUCUCUACUUGAAUUCAAGCCUCUGAAAGUUUCUGGGUGAAUUCUAGCCAGAAACAUCACCUCAGUCUCCCACAAGCAAGAAUCUGAAGGCUCCCAUGGAGACAACAUGCAGAUGACUCUUUCCAGAGGUCAGAGGGAAGACGUGAUGACUGAAUGAACUCUUGGCAUCAUGAAAUAUAAGCAGAUCAGGCCAGCACUUGUUUAAUAAGGGCCUGCAUUUAAGGGCCACUGGCUUAACGCAAGCACACAGCCAGUGGGCUGAUGUGUAGGGAUGAAGCAGGCGGGAAGUACACAUGCCAUCACUCCCUUGAAAGAUGAGUGAGAAAGGCCGGGGCCGGGACAAGCAUCCUAAGAGAUCCAACUGUGCGUUGAGCAAUGAUGUCUUCACGAUGUGAUGAAAAAUGCUUCCUGGACAUGUGCUAUUUUCAGAAUGGUCUUUGGAGUACAUUUCAUCUCGGGAGAUGCUGAUAUGUCAGUUUCAGAUGUAUACCUGACCUACCUAGAAGAACGCACACACACGUGUGGCACACGCACACAAAGGGGAACGUGUAUAUGCACAGAAACUAGAAUGGUGAUGAGGAAGCCUGGAUAAGACGAGACCACACGGCUCAUCACGCUGGGCACGUCUCUCGCCCUCUGAGGAUGGAAACUGCCCCAAGCUUUUCUGUUCACUGUCAUGUGAAACGCAAAGCGCCCAGCAAGAGAAGCAACGGAGCCCUUACUUUCUCG